UAUUCCCACUUUUCAAUACUGAAGAAUUAAAUAUUCCCUUUCCUUGCUUUUGUGUUUUGCAGUUCAUAAAAGAGAAUUAUUUAUUAAAAAGUUUUUAACGAUAGCUUUUAAGAUCAGUUCAGUGCAAAGAUUUCAAAAAUUCUAUCUCAGUAAAAAUCUGAGUAAAAAAACCACCAGCUUGGCAUUUUCAUUGAGAUAGAUGAAUAUGGUAUUGAGCUGCUUGUUUUAAGUUGCUUCAGAGAAGUAAUAUUAACAGAUGAAUAUGAAUUAUUAUGAAUGUAGUAAGAUGUCAUUUAAAAUAGCAUCCUUGAAUCAUGGAUAGUUUGUAACACAGAAAAAAUCAAAUAUUUAUAGAAUGUUAUUUACCAUUUUGUGGUCUUCAGUGGGAAUCAGCUCUAACUUUAGGUUUAACAUUAACCCUAGCUUUAUGUAUCUAAAAGGCUGACUUCUGAAUCUGAUAAAAUUAUUUAAGGAAGAUUUUAUUGCAGAAGAGGGAAAUAGCUACUUAUAGAUAAUAAUCUCCUCUAUCUAGUAUUGCUUGUCAUAAGAAUGAUUGCAUUUGAACUUCUUAGAGGGACAAGUGGAACUUCUCAGAGGGACAAGUGGCGUUCAGCCACCCGAGAUUGAGCAAUAACAGGUCUGUGAUGCCCUUAGACGUCCGGGGCCGCACGCGCGCUACACUGACUGGCUCAGCUUGUGCCUACCCUCCGCCGGCAGGCGCGGGUAAUCCGUUGAACUCCAUUCGUGAUGGGGAUCGGGGAUUGCAAUUCUUCCCCGUGAAUGAGGAAUUCCCAGUAAGUGCGGGUCAUAAGAUCGCGUUGAUUAAGUCCCUGCCCUUUGUACACACCGCCCGUUGCUACUACGGGUUGGAUGGUUUAGUGAGGUCCUCGGAUCGGCCCCGGUGGGGUCGGCCCCGGCCCUGCCGGAGCGUCGAGAAGACGGUCGAACUUGACUAUCUAGAGGAAGUAAAAGUCGUAACAAGGUUUCCGUAGGUGAACCUGCGGGAGGAUCAUUCCAGCUCAGGUGCAUCUACACCAAUGCGCGCAGCAUGGGCACCAAACAGGAGGAGCUGGAAGCCAUUGUGCAGUGGGACAGCUAUGACGUAGUUGCCAUCACAGAAACAUGGUGGGAUGCUUCUCAUGACUGGAGUGCUGCAAUGGAUGGCUAUAAGCUCUUCC
rnacentral:ncRNA from 1 species